AAGCCGGUACGUUUAAUGGUCAAAUGGAGCCUGUUUUCACAGGCAUUUAUGCGGGUUCGACUCCCGUCCGGCUUA
rnacentral:tRNA from 1 species